rnacentral:lncRNA from 1 species
CGAGCCAACAUUCCCCCUAACCCCCCUCCCUCUUCUUUAUGGGUGUUCCCCUCCCCAUCCUCCCCCCCCAUUACCGCCCUGCCCCCAGCAAUCACGUUCACUGGGGGUUCAGUCUUAGCAGGACCAAGGGCUUCCCCUUCCACUGGUGCUCUUUCUAGGCUAUUCAUUGCUACCUAUGAGGUUGGAGCCCAUGGUCAGUCCAUGUAUAGUCUUUGGGUAGUGGCUUAGUCCCUGGAAGCUCUGGUUGGUUGGCAUUGUUGUUCAUAUGGGGUCUCGAGCCCCUUCAAGCUCUUCCACUCCUUUCUCUGAUUCCUUCAAUGGGGGUCCCGUUCUCAGUCCAGUGGUUUGCUGCUGGCAUUUGCCUUUGAGGAUAUUCUUAAUGAUCCAUCACAGAGUGAACUGAUGGGCGAGCCAUGCUUGACAGUGGAAUAUAAGCUGGGCUUGCUGUAAUACAGGGUGCCGUGCAGGAACCAUGGAUGUACUUCUUGUAGUUGCCUCUGCCACAGUCUGCUGUUCACAGCAUUAAAGUACUGAGAGGAAAAACAAACAAACAAACAAAA